CGCCCGGAUCUGGCGCGUGCGUAGCUGCCAGUCCGUGUUUCUGGCGCCUUGGGGGAUAGGUUGAGGUCUGAAGUUUUUCAAAAUAAAGUUGGUUGUGGCGAAGAGAUUUAUAAAAAUGCGAGUCCCAGAUGCCAUUUUCAGAUAUUCUAAUUGGGCAAUUCUGGGCGAAUCCUGUGACUCUGAAUUUUUCAAUUUCCCUCUGUUCUGUUGCACAAAGUUGAAUACCAUGGAUCUAAUCCAACUUUAGACUUUCCCUCACGCCCAUUUCACAGAGGAAAACACUGAGGACCCAAGAAGCCAAGGGCAGCAACCACAUCCCAGCUUCCAACACAUUCUAACAGCCUGCCAGAUGGGUAGACCUGACAGACACCUCGGAGACACAUCCUAGGUCACCCACCGUGAGGACACCCGCAUCCACAGGGAAGCCCCCAGCCGCUGACCACACCGCACCUUUCUCUCUCUGGGGCCGACAUGCUCUUCUGAGUGUGAGCUUUUAAAUUCUGCUCAAUAAACCUCUGUUUGCCUCUCA